AAGAUAACAGCAAGAGAAAGCCAAAAAUGAUGAGUUACGGRCGACAACAAAUGGGCCAAACAAGAUGCUGUCAAGAUAGRCUCUAAAGGACUUGAUGAGG